rnacentral:rRNA from 1 species
UACGUAGGGGCCUAGCGUUGUCCGGAAUUAUUGGGCGUAAAGAGCUCGUAGGCGGUCUGUUGCGUCCGCUGUGAAAACUCGGGGCUUAACCCCGAGCCUGCAGUGGAUACGGGCAGACUAGAGGUAGGUAGGGGAGAAUGGAAUUCCCGGUGUAGCGGUGAAAUGCGCAGAUAUCGGGAGGAACACCGGUGGCGAAGGCGGUUCUCUGGGCCUUACCUGACGCUGAGGAGCGAAAGCGUGGGGAGCGAACAGG